rfam:Populus trichocarpa scaffold_6_contig_408, whole genome shotgun sequence.
UGCUGGCUAUGAUGAUCAUUGAUAAUCCCAGCUCUAUGAGAUCUUCAAUUGGAAGGUGGUCUAGGUGUACUAUAUGUUUUCAAUUUCUGCCUGAGCCUAAUA